rnacentral:rRNA from 1 species
UGCAAGUCGAACGGCAGCGCGGGUGCUUGCACCUGGCGGCGAGUGGCGAACGGGUGAGUAAUACAUCGGAACGUGCCCUAGAGUGGGGGAUAACUAGUCGAAAGAUUAGCUAAUACCGCAUACGAUCUACGGAUGAAAGUGGGGGACCGCAAGGCCUCAUGCUCCUGGAGCGGCCGAUGUCUGAUUAGCUAGUUGGUGGGGUAAUGGCCUACCAAGGCGACGAUCAGUAGCUGGUCUGAGAGGACGACCAGCCACACUGGGACUGAGACACGGCCCAGACUCCUACGGGAGGCAGCAGUGGGGAAUUUUGGACAAUGGGGGCAACCCUGAUCCAGCAAUGCCGCGUGUGUGAAGAAGGCCUUCGGGUUGUAAAGCACUUUUGUCAGGAACGAAACGGUGGGGGCUAAUACCCUCUGCUAAUGACGGUACCUGAAGAAUAAGCACCGGCUAACUACGUGCCAGCAGCCGCGGUAAUACGUAGGGUGCGAGCGUUAAUCGGAAUUACUGGGCGUAAAGCGUGCGCAGGCGGUUGUGCAAGACAGAUGUGAAAUCCCCGGGCUCAACCUGGGAAUGGCAUUUGUGACUGCACGGCUAGAGUGUGUCAGAGGGGGGUAGAAUUCCACGUGUAGCAGUGAAAUGCGUAGAUAUGUGGAGGAAUACCGAUGGCGAAGGCAGCCCCCUGGGAUAACACUGACGCUCA